GUCUUCGUGAGCCAACCCCCUUCUUCCCCAAUCAUUCGUGAAUCGUCCUAAUCCUGGAGAACUCUCAAGCCAAGGGAAACCCUAGCCCUUCAUCGCCGCCGCCGUUCCCAGGUCCACAGCGCCGCCACCGUCCCCAGGUCGUCAGCGCCGCUGCUUCUUCCUCUCCCCCGUGUCCGGAAUCUAGUAGCGCAGCAUGUUGUCUUCAUCUUCGCAUGCUUCCCGGCAUGGAACCCAGAUUAGUGGCUUAUCGUCUUCAUCUUAACUGAUUAUUCGAUCUUCUUCUUGGUUUGAACUUUGAAGUUCUGAAAUUGUUGUUCUUUGGUCUUCUUCUGUCUUCUUGUUCAAUUUUUGUUCCAUUUUUAGUGUGACUGUUUUCAGUUUUUGGUCUUGUUCUUUGGUCUUCUUCUUCUUUACUGAUGACUCGUUCCCUCUAUUAGUUUGUUACUCUAUUUUAGUGUGACUGUUUUCUAAUUUCUCAAUGGCUCGAUUGCUCUGUUAGUUUACUGAUGGCUCUGUUAGUUUGUUACUCUGGUUUACUAGUUGCUGAUGGCUCCAAAUUUUUUUGUUCAGAUUUUUUUGUUCAGGUGUUUAUUCAUUUAUUUUUCAGUUUGAUGCGAUUUUGCUAUUUUUUCAUUAUUUAUUUAAUUUUGCCAUUUUUCUGUCCCUAUAAACAGUGGCACAAGAAGAGUAUGCGAACAAUGGAAAUGCUACUGGGGAUUUAAAUUCUGAUGAUAGAGUCAGUGACAAGGUUCUUCUAACAAAUACCUGUCAUGGAAGGUGUAAUUCUUGGUCUGCUUAUGAAUACAAAAGGCUUCAUUGAAAUUAUAGUGCUCAACAUUGGCUGGGAACAAAAGGUAUUGGGCGAUGAAGUAUUUUCAAUCAUGGUUCUUGUAACAAUUCUGAUGACAACAAUCAUCUCACACACAGUGGCAAUGAUCCACAAGCCAAGAAAAAGGCACAUAUCAUACAAGAACAGAACAAUGCAAAAUAUAGGAACAGAUAUUUUAUGUAUUGUUUAUAAUUUAUUUAUUAUUAUAUUCUAAAAUGAUUUUCCGGUUGAACCACCGGUUAGACCGGUUGGACUAGUAAACCAGUGAACCAGUCAUUAAAACGGUUUGAUGACCGGUCCGGUUUUUAAAACCUUGACUAAAACACAAAACGUCGUUGACGUUUUGUUAAAAAAAUAUUAUUUUAAUUGAAGAAAUACAAAACGUCAGUGACAUUUUGUAGAUGGCCAUAGUAUUUAACACAGUUUGGUUCAUCAUAAAGGAUUUUACC